CGGCGGACGGGUGAGUAACGCGUGGGUAACCUGCCUCAUACAGGGGGAUAACAGUUAGAAAUGACUGCUAAUACCGCAUAAACACACAGUACCGCAUGGUACAGUGUGAAAAACUCCGGUGGUAUGAGAUGGACCCGCGUCUGAUUAGCUGGUUGGCGGGGUAACGGCCCACCAAGGCGACGAUCAGUAACCGACCUGAGAGGGUGACCGGCCACAUUGGGACUGAGACACGGCCCAA
rnacentral:rRNA from 1 species